UCCCUAUUGGUCCAACGGUUAGGAUUCCAGACUUUCAAUCUGGCGGUUCGGGUUCGAUUCCCGGAUGGGGAA
rnacentral:tRNA from 1 species